GUACUUAGCGGCAGGGGAGAUGCCAUGAUCAUGAGGGUGGUUUACCCAGGGUGAGGCGCAUCCACUGCACUCCGUAUGUGCUGGCCCCUGCGGUUUCCCCAAAUGUGGGAAACUCGAUGCAUAAUUUGUGGUAGUGGGGGACUGCAUUUGUGCUCCCUCCUG
ensembl:snRNA U1 U1 spliceosomal RNA